rnacentral:tRNA from 7 species
GCACCAGUAGUCUAGCCUGGUUAGGAUACAAGCUUGCCAAGUUUGCGGCACGGGUUCAAAUCCCGUCUGGUGCA